rnacentral:rRNA from 1 species
UACAGAGGGUGCGAGCGUUAAUCGGAUUUACUGGGCGUAAAGGGCGCGUAGGCGGUGAUGUGAGUGUGAUGUGAAAGCCCCGGGCUUAACCUGGGAAGUGCAUCGCAAACGACAUGACUGGAGUAGAUGAGAGGGUGGCGGAAUUUCCGGUGUAGCGGUGAAAUGCGUAGAGAUCGGAAGGAACGUCAAUGGCGAAGGCAGCCACCUGGCAUCAUACUGACGCUGAGGCGCGAAAGCGUGGGGAGCGAAC